rnacentral:rRNA from 1 species
AACGCUGGCGGCAGGCUAACACAUGCAGUCGAGCGCGCCUUCCGGGUGAGCGGCGGACGGGUUAGUAACGCGUGGGAACGUGCCCUUCUCUACGGAAUAGCCUCUGGAAACGGAGAGUAAUACCGUAUACGCCCUUUGGGGGAAAGAUUUAUCGGAGAAGGAUCGGCCCGCGUUAGAUUAGGUAGUUGGUGGGGUAACGGCCUACCAAGCCUACGAUCUAUAGCUGGUUUUAGAGGAUGAUCAGCAACACUGGGACUGAGACACGGCCCAGACUCCUACGGGAGGCAGCAGUGGGGAAUCUUAGACAAUGGGGGCAACCCUGAUCUAGCCAUGCCGCGUGAGUGAUGAAGGCCUUAGGGUCGUAAAGCUCUUUCGCCUGUGAUGAUAAUGACAGUAGCAGGUAAAGAAACCCCGGCUAACUCCGUGCCAGCAGCCGCGGUAAUACGGAGGGGGUUAGCGUUGUUCGGAAUUACUGGGCGUAAAGCGCGCGUAGGCGGAUUAGAAAGUUGGGGGUGAAAUCCCGGGGCUCAACCCCGGAACUGCCUCCAAAACUGCUAGUCUAGAGUUCGAGAGAGGUGAGUGGAAUUCCGAGUGUAGAGGUGAAAUUCGUAGAUAUUCGGAGGAACACCAGUGGCGAAGGCGGCUCACUGGCUCGAUACUGACGCUGAGGUGCGAAAGUUGUGGGGAGCCAAACAGGAUUUAAUCCCCUGUUAUUCCACAACGGUAACGAAAAUGGCAGCGACGGGGAAGGAUACUAAUCCGGGGAACACACCUAAGGGUUAGAGUUCGCCCUGGGGA